UACGGAGGGUGCAAGCGUUGUCCGGAAUCAUUGGGUGUAAAGGGUGCGCAGGCGGGCUUUUAAGUCUGGGGUGAAAUCUUGCCGCUUAACGGUAAAAUUGCCUUGGAUACUGGAAGUCUUGAGUGUGACAGAGGUUGGCGGAAUUCGUAGUGUAGCGGUGAAAUGCACUGAUAUUACGAAGAACACCAGUGGCGUAGGCGGCCAACCGGGUCACAACUGACGCCCAGGCCACGGAGCGGGGGGAGCAAACA
rnacentral:rRNA from 1 species